GCGGCCGGACUACCUGCGGCGCGGAGCCCGUCCUGGGCGGCCAGAUUCGGAUGUUGAACGGCGCCAGCAUGGGGAGUGGAGGAGCUGUGGCUGCAGAGUGACCAUUCAUUUGGGCGGCUGUUUUCAAAAUCUGGGCUGCGCUUUAAUCUGAAAGGUGGCUGGUUAUAGCGGUUGGUCUGGUCCGAGCAUACCUGGCUAAGGGUAGCUACCAUAGCCUUUAUUAUUCAAUUGAAAAGCCUUUGAAAUUCUUUCAAACUGGAGCCUUAUUGGAGAUUUUACAUUGUGCUAUAGGUGAUGUCAAGAGUUUUUCUAAUAUGGGCAGUAACACAUAGCGUCAAAGAGGUACAGAGUGAAGACAGUGUCCUCCUGUUUGUUAUUGCAUGGACGAUCACGGAAAUCAUCCGUUACUCCUUUUAUACAUUCAGUCUAUUAAACCAUCUGCCUUACCUCAUCAAAUGGGCCAGGUACACACUUUUCAUUGUGCUGUACCCAAUGGGAGUGUCAGGAGAACUGCUCACAAUAUAUGCAGCUCUGCCCUUUGUCAGACAAGCUGGCCUAUAUUCCAUCAGUUUACCCAACAAAUACAAUUU
rnacentral:lncRNA from 1 species